CAAGUCUCAUUUAUUGUUGCUUCCUCUUUAGUUCUAAGAAACGGAGCCUUUUUCUUAAAGUGUGCCCAGAGGUAAACAUUUCUAAGCAACAAAGACAGGUCAUUUGUAUAAAAAUAUUUGUUAUUGUUUAUUUUCAAUAUACCUGUUUUUCUUUCAUUUAAUCUUGUAAAAACACUGUAAAAAAGCUAUUUUUCUAUAUUUCAGGGAGAAAUCAAUGUGUGACUACAUAUAUUAUUCUUAAUUGACCACAAAUUUGUACAUUUGUAAUCAAAGUUAUACUUGUACCUAUAGUCCCAGAAACUGUGGAAUACUUUCAUUUCUGAACCAAAAUCUUCCCCAUCAAUCUUUUAAAAACAAUAUCACCCAAUUGAAAGUCAACUAGAAAAUCAUAAUGGGCUUAUACCGUGCCUUUUAAAAAUGACUAUAAAAAUGUUUUCAAAGUAAUCGAUACCUUAUAUGUCCUAAUUCUCAAAGUUGUCUUGGCAGCUUAGUCUCCUGGUUGUCAGGAGGCCACAUAUAAGUAUACCAUACAACCUUCGAGUUCCCUAUAGAUCUCAAAGUCUACAUCAAUACACAUCUAAUUGCUUCUCCUUGCUCAUAAUUCAUGUUUGUUUGCUGGUUAUUUGACACUGAAACUCCUUGCACUUAGACACAGUAUUUUCUCUCAGAAUGAAAAGAUCCACCUCAUUUUAUAUGAAACCCAGCUUUCCAUUUUUGAAGUAUCAUAUCAUACCGAGGGAGAAGCAGAAAAAUACCAUGGAGGGAUAUUAGUUCUGAUUUCUACUUCCUUAACACCACAUUUAUAAUGGUCUCAAUCCAUCUGUUCAAUCAAUGGCUCUCAUAAUUCCACAGCCUGAUACAUACCUGUAACCAGUUCAGGGCAAGCCUGAGCUACAUAGUGAGACCCUGUCUCAAAAUAAGAACAACAAUGUAAAGGUGAUUGCAACCUGUAUCACUUUCAGACUUUUGAGCAGUUUAACAUGACAGUGACCAUUAUUUUGUUUUAACAAUGAGACACGAACAAGAUAUUUGUCUAAUAUACUUAUUGUUCGCAUUUCCCGAAUGCCCGUAUGUAAUCUAGCAGACAGAAUCUUUUAUUUCAAAGGAAAAAUUCCGCCACCUUCUUGACUUUCUUUCACCAGAAGCAGAGUAUGUGUAAAGUUUUAUGAAUGAAUAGCUCCAUCACAGUACGGCUUUUCACUCCUUCUCUUCCCGCCCCUCUUUCCUAGAUGCAAAGACAGCUGAAUGGAGAACAGAACUGUACUUCAAGCUAUACUGUCAACAUCUGUACAACAGCCAAGAGCUUGUCACCAUUCCAGCAAUGUGUAGUACGGUGCAGCCACUUAAAAGACAAACCUUUUUUUUUUAUUCCUAAGCUGCUUUUUUACUUCUUCAUUGUGUAAAGCUGGACAGAUAACACACCUACUGGCUAAAAGGACAACUUUCCCAAGUCCCUGGAAGUACGGUGAGAGACAAGAGAACCCAUUUUAGGCAGGAAGAAUGAAAUGAGGAGGAGGCGCAGUGUGAUCUACUUUGCAUUUUAGGUUCUUGCACGUGUACAAAAAGGCUUUCAGUUUAAAUUGAAAGCUGUGCACAAAACCUGUUCCUUUAUGAACUACAGACUGCCUAUUUUCCUGUAUAGUUCAACAUUUAUUAAACAGUAGUGUAUGCAAAACAUUAUUUAACUAUAAGAUAGGUACAAAUACACUCAGGCUGCUUUGGCUACGAGCUCAUGUCGUAGGUUUUAUGCCCCUUAAAAAGAAGCUGUUAGGAAACGCUAUUUCAAGUUGAGAAAAAGCUGUUUUAUAACAGUCCUGGGACUCAUUAUGCAUUCUUAAAGCAGGAACGGAAAUCCGAGAAAUGGAGUGGUUCUUACAAGCAGAGCAAAGCAGAAAGUCACCACCCAGCACUGUCCCAAUUCUCUCUCCCAUUUUCAAAUAAAGUUUCUAGUCUCAUCCCUAUAUAAGGCAGCAGAACAUUAACUGGGAUAUGCUCUCACACCUAUAAUGCUCUGGCCCCAAGGUUUAAUACUUUCGCUUUUUAUAAUGAUGUAUUUGGCCCAAAGUCAUUCAGUCACACCACACAGCUUAUAGAACUGAGGAUGAUGUUUGGAAUCAUUAAAAAAAAUCAUUAAAAAAUAAAAAAAAGAUUAAAAAUCAUCUCAAAAAAUUGAGAAUUUGUUUUUUGUCAUCCUUCCUUUGAAAAUAUCUAUCCAUCUCCCUCUAGCACCUCCCUUUUCAAAUGGGAUUGCUUCCCAUGGGUCUCUGAGAGCAGUGUGGGAUUAUUACACAGUAAAUUCCAUUGUUAGCAGCACUGGGUCUUUGUUUCUAGGUAGACAGCAGCACCUGGGCAGAAAACCUGCACUAGA
rnacentral:sRNA from 1 species